rnacentral:lncRNA from 1 species
GCCACCACCCUCGCUUGCAGGUUCCUUUUAAUUAGGGAUCCGGUGUGAGACAGCACUUAAUCCCCUAGAAUGCCCGUGGUCCCAAAGCUCGCUGCUCACCUUCGCAGAAUGUGGUCUUGCUAAGCCUCGUGGGAGGACAGGCUUUCGAGUAGGACAGAGUGAGGAGUUAACUGUCAGGCUGCUGCGUGCAAAACCUUGCUUCCCUCCCAUCCCCCUUUCCGAUGCUCUGAUUUAAACGAACCACAAAAUUACAACAGAAAAGUAUAUUUUGGAAGAUGGGCGGGGUCAGUAGAAAAUCUGCAUUCAGAUUAAAUCUAGCGAGAAUGAGGGACGUGUAUUUGUUGAGGGUCAUCAACUCCCAAGAAUCACGGUCAGUUUUCAGAGCAAGAGCCAAAGGGGGGAAGGGUGGUAUGGGCCCUAGGCUGUGGAGCGGGCCACGCGGGUGCGGGACCCGGCGCGUGGAGCUCUGGGAAGAGGGCCAGCCCGGUGUCCCGCGCGCCUGGCUCAGCUCCGCAGUUUGCCGGAGAGCAGAGAGGCGGCUGAGCAGAGGAGGCGCACGGUUCGGGUCGUGUCACCAGUUCUUCGCUUGCUGACCUGCCCAGGGUCAGGGGACGGCGGCAGCACGGUGGAGGUGGGCCCUGUGACACUUGGGAAGUCGUGUCUCGCCCCCUCCCACUACAGAUGGAUUCCAGUCUGGGCAGCAGGGAUCCAGGUGACAAGUCAGUCUUGCAUCAUUUCAAGGCGGGUAACAGAGAGGCCCACGCAGCCCUGGAUAAGCCCGCUGUGGAGCCUCGCGUGCCCUGGUGUCUGUCUUAAAGGCAACUUUACUGUCUCCAAGUACACUCUUUAAUUUUCUCAAAGAGCUACUUUCCGCCCGACUCGGGGUUCCCUUUACUCUUUUAGUGGAAAUGGAAAAAAAAGAAAAAAAAGAAAAACACAAAAAAGCAAAAUUCAGGGAAAUGCUCUCCAUCGCUUCCCCUGUCCUGUUGGAGUCUCUUUCCUAAGCACUGCCCGGAUUAGAUUGCCCCCAGCUGCUGGCUCCCCGGCUGGAGGAAGUAAGCAGAAAGUUGGGCGCCGCUUGGAGCGCCUUUCUCCUUGCUGUGUGUGUACGUGUGCACGCUCACGUCUCCCUCGCUACGGGGCCGCGGACAGGAACUGUUCACCCCGACGGCGCAGCUCUAGGGGGUAGCAGGGGUGGGGGAGGGCGGCCAGGCGCGCGGCAGCCUGGAGUCCCGCGGCGUGUUGGCACACCCGCGUCCCUCCCCCGCAGUCCCCACCCUCCUCUGGGAGAACAGGUGAGCCCGGGUACCAGCUCUCAACCCUCACACGCCCCCGCCCCGCUUGGCUCUGCAGUAAUGUGCCAGGAAGGUUUCAUCACCCACCGCCCGCGGCGACACAGCCGCAGUUUCCGCGGCGGGGCGCACUGCCGGCCUUACUGGGCCGCCAUGUGACAUGCUUGGGGGAGGGGGUACGGAGAUGCCGGGGCAGGUCAUCCUUCAGCAGCUGGCUUCAGCCUUCCUUCCUGGGGCCAGGUGAAGCUCAGGGCUAGGUGACCACCCCUGGCCAAGGCUACCUUCUCGCGAGGAGCAAACCUCAAUGGGGAGGGGGGGGGAAUGGGGCAAGUGCUUUCAGAAUGGGCUGCCCAGGGUCUGGAGUGCCCAGGAGCCGCUGUCCACGGCACCUGCUUAGGUUUCAGAGCCUCAGGAAAUGGUCACUUUAGUCCGAAUCUGCAGAGGUGGCAAGAAACUGUCCACUCAUGCCGAUGCUUCCAGUCGCAGUCAGCUCCCGCAGCUACAGAUCUUUUGUAGCAAGGCGCAGACUGGCGUUCUCAAUGCCCGCCUUACUCAGCUUGGCGUCCCUCAUUCAGGAAAAACCACCUCUUGCCAUCCUUAAAAGCCAAACAAGCAAAUAGCACAACAGCAUUCUGGCUUAUCCUAAUUGCUCAGGGCCCCAAAUUUCCUGGGGUCAAGUGGAUGUUUGUUCUCAGUCUUGUUUAAAGGUAUUAACUGAGUUCUUUCUUUCCAUCUGGUUUCUUUUGUAGAUGAGAGCACAAAGAGUAUUGGCAUUAAAAAGGCAUCUGGUCCCACCCCUCCCCCCCAAACAGAAAUAGAAGAUCUAGGGGGCAGGAGCAAGCCCACCUUUGCCAGCUGCAGAUACCUGGGCUUCUGCCAGCAGCCUGGCACAUGGAGGUGAUUGGUACCUGUCUUCUCUCUGCCUGUGUUAGAUACCGCCCUUGCUUCCUUGAGGCCUUG